GUAAAAAUAGCCAUAUUUUACAUCCAUGGGAAGCAUUAAGGAUAUUAUCUCUUUGGAGUUCCUUUCAGCCAAGAGUAAGGAGAUAUGAAGAAUUUGGCUGCUGUCCUCUGCUCCUGCACCACCCAGCUACCCGUCAUGGCUAAUAAUGCAACUCAGUGGCUGCUGUAUCUUUCAUGGCCCUUCUGACACUAUGAGAUUAGUGGGAGCACAGCUGCUUCAGUACCAGGGCAUGUAUCUGUCUUUCCCUGGCAGAUCCCUUGGUGGUGUGUGGCUGUCAUGUUAAAGAGGGAAGGUAAAACUUAUUUACAGGCAGUCUGAGCGGCAUGUUAUUCAAGGCCAGGUUGCUGGCCCAUCUGAUAUUAUUUAAGGGGUUAGAUAUUGCCAGUAAAUGAAAAUAAAUGCUAUUAGUGUACCUUCUAGUCAGUGGAAUUAGCUGCUCUUCAGCUGAUGUUUGGUUUUACAGCACAAGAUACGCUGGCUCUCAAGGGUCAUGGCUUUUAAAUGCUGGGAAGGCACUAAUCUUGGGAUCAUGGUGAUGCAAACAGAAAUAGGAGGCUAGCAAAACCAGCAGAGGGCUUCCCUUCUGUUGCUUACCCUCAGUCUCUCUGUUAAAUGGACCUGCAGAAAUCAGGGGCAAAGAGACAGAGUGCAGCACUGUUAACUCUAAGGGUUCCUCUUUUACCACAGUAGAGCCUUGGAAGGGCCCUUCUUUCCUCCUCAUCUCAGCCAGUCUCAGAAGGAUUGUCUUUGCUAAAAAGAAAUUACAUUCUGUUGCCUGUCUGUCUUGAGCCAUUUGCUUUUGGCAUUAACUGUCAAGCCCUGAAUCACUCUCUGGGGAUGCGUGCUGGAAAGCUGGUGGGAACUGAUUGCAUAUCAGCAGCUGAGAUGCAAUACUUGGCUUUGCUCUUCUUGGGAAUCACAGUGUGCAGACCUGGACAGCAUCACGCACAUAGCAGCUGAAAUUAGCUAUGGGGUAUUGAACAUUGAAGUGGAAGAGGGAGGUGGAAAACUAGAAGAGCAGCUGCUUGAAAAUUGCACCAAAGGCCUCUUCCCAAAGAGAAAUAUGCAGGACUUCUUUGGUUUAAGGUCACUCAUCAGCAAGACCCCCAGCUGGGAUGAAGAAACGAGAGGCCAAGGCUUCUGGCAUCCUGCUGCAAUGUGACGUAAAGAGGAGAUGCCACAAGCAGGAAAUCCUCGUCUCAGAGGAAGGAGCUGGUUUUACUGAGGCAGGUGCCCCUAGGAGCUUGAAGGGCUACUGGAAGCAAGCGAAGGCUACCCUGCCUCAAGGAGAUGAAGGCUCAUGGUGAAAUGUGAUGUUCUAUGGUCUGGAAGCAGUCGGUAAGAGCUUCACCUCCUCUAUCAGCACUUUGGAGACACGGCUGAAGGAUUGGACAAUACCUAUCAGGGAGGUAACAUCUCCAGUGGAAAAGAGGACAGGGCUUUAAAACACCUACAGCUGGCUUCCACACCCCCCUGACCUGCAUUUCAGGUCGGCACCACCAAGAUGCCUGUGUGCCUUGGCUGAUGAGGAUAACUACACGCAAGGCAAGCUAUCUGAACCUGACAGCAAAGACCACGUUUCCCCUUAAUGCACCGUGCUGUGGGAAGUGUUUACUGCUGCUGCUCUUACAGAGCAGAAAACCAGAGCAGCUGGGAUGCAGCAAGCUCACAAUGAGGAAAAGCAGAAAGAAGAAUGACCCCGCGCCACUGUUACAAGCAGCUUCCUGAAAGCAGCUUGCGGCCAGGAAAACUGCUGGAUGAAAUCCCUCAGAGGAGGAGAAAGUCCAGGCUCCCCAGAUUUGUUGUCAUUCCUGGGGGAUGUGACCGAGGACAAGUCUUGGAUCGCCUUGCUAGCACCUCUCUCUUGCAGGAAAUGCCCAACUCCAGAUUUCUCACACAGAUAGGAAACAUUUCACCUCAGAGAGAGCAGUGCUGCAGUGGCACAGCUGCCCAGGGAGUGGUGGGGUCACCGUCCCUGGAGGUGUUCCAUACCCAUGGGGAUGUGGCACUGAGGGACGUGGGCAAUGGGCAUGGUGGGGUGGGCUGGAGUUGGGCUGGGUGAUCUUAGAGGACUUUUCCAACCUGAAUGAUUCCAUGAUACCUCCAAAAAAGCAACCUCCUGUGCUGUCCCAGAGGGCUGGGAGUGCUUGGAAGUCUUGGUGCAAAUGCUUGGUGCUCAAUAGCAGCGCACUUCAUGGUGCUGUUGGUGGCGUGGCCUCAUCUUCCCAGCUCCGUGGGCUGCUAGUGACAUUCCCAGGGCUUUCCAGCUGGGAAAUAGCAGCCAUCUCCGCAGAGAGCCUGAUGUCACAAGAUUCUUCGGCCUGAUUUCCAGAGCAGUGGUCUGGAUGUGCUUCAAACUCCUGACUGCUUUUUCCAACCAGCCUUGUUGCUUGGGAUGUGUUGUUUUUUUUUUUUUUUCUUUUUCUGGGCUCUCCCUUCCCCAGCGCUCACACACUCACAGAGCAAUUGGUGUCCCUCCAUAGGCACGUCUAUGAAAAAUGCAGAGAUUUCCUGAGCAGGGUGCAGUGGAAAUUCCUGGGAUUGCUGGUGCAGACAGACACGUAGUUAGCUGAGUCUGAGAGGGAGCAGCUCAGGAGUUGGGUUUUCUGCACAAGCUCUUCUCAUUCCUUUCUGCUCAUCUUUUCCGGUCUGCAUCUAUGGGAACAACGCUUUUCCCACCUACACCCCUCUCCGAAUGUAGUGUGGUCCUCGGGGUCCAUGUUGCCCUGACCUCUCCUCGUGGUCUGGGCUUUGCACAGGGAUCAGAGGGGCUUAAAACUCAUUGCACCCUGCAGUGUUAGCACCACGACCUUAUUUGCCAAGUCUGGCGAUGGGACAGGGAGCAGAGAUUUCCAACAUCAGCCCCACUCGUGGGAGUGUGUGCCACUGCCAGGGGCUGGCUGUCAAAAAGAUUUGCAAGAGGGGGUGUUCUCAGCCCUGUUUUUACGUGACCACUAGCAGCAGUCCCGCGGUGGAACACAGCUGUAGGACAAUGGAUGGGGCUGACCAGAAACACGGCGCGCUCUUUCGCAAUGAGCUUGGCUCUGGGCUACAUGAAAAAUGUCUUUUUUUCUUUCAUUCUUUCUUUAUUCUUCCCCCCCCCCCAAAAAAAAAAAGAAGAAGAAAAAGAGCUUUUUGCAGAAGGGAGAGGAGUGAAAACCAGGUGCUGUUUUCAAGAUGCUGCUUUCUAACGGUGCCAAAAUGAGCAAGACAGGUCUCAAACUGGGAGCGAUGGGUGGAGGAGCCAAACGGGCCAGGGGUGCUCAGCCUGGAAAGGAGAAGGCUCUGGAUGACAAAGUUACAAGUGAUAGGAAAGUGAUUAGAAGAGACAGCAUUGGGCAGAUUGGAAGCAAUGUACCGAGAGUGGGAGGUAGCCCCAUGUUGGGCUCUUCAUCCUGGGGUCACCUCAGUGCCCAUCCCCAGUCUGUAGCCAGCACCAUGCCUGGCAUCCUUGCUCAUCUAUGUUAUACUGCUCUGGAGGAAACUGAAACUCCUCAGAAAUGUGGUGAGGGGUUUUUCAUGGUAAAACCUUUGGGUUUUUUGAUGCUUUCAGGCUCAUACAGACUCAUACAUCCUGUUCUACAUCUGAAGUCAGGUAUAGAUGCAAGGGAGGGGUGUUUCUAAGGGAGCGUCUUUGAAGCUGCUCCUCUGCCUUUCUCCCAUGUCUUUUUUUGCCCCUUCCAGCCUGGGAGAGAAAUAGCAUGAGAAAGAAUUGCGGUAGAAAUACCUAUUUUAGAGCACUGAUCAUCACUUACUUAGAAAUUGCCCCUACUACAAAACCUGCCAGAUUUCCAAGGAAAAAAUUUGCAAGUAAUGAGCAAGCAUAUUUAACGUUCCUUUCCAAAUGGCCCUUGUUUUAACUUUUGCUUGCUCCACUGUAGGCAAUAAUACUUUCAUCCCAGAUUUGCACACACUGCAGUUAAACCCCCCAUAAGCAUGGGGACGCUCCAAGGGCUGGGAGAAGCAGUGAGCUUGCGGGGCUGCAAUGGGAUGCUGAAGAGUGGCAGCAGUCCACUUAUUUGAAAGUCAGGCUGUUCCAUGCCCUCUGCAAAGUUCCAGUCAAUUGAAUGCAGUGCUAAUUUUUUUCAUUAACCUCCAACACAACCUCCCCAUCUGCAGAAUUAUUCACUGCUGUAAAACUAGACACAUAUCUCAGAAAUAACAAACUGCUGCCUUCUUCCCUAGCAACUUCUUUGAGGCCUUUCAGGUUUGUAUGCCCACUCCAGCUCACUGUCCGUGCUCAAACUGGAAGAUACCAUGCAUAGAUGGUAUGAUGUAUAUUGCUUA
ensembl:lncRNA